UACGUAGGGGGCUAGCGUUGUCCGGAAUCAUUGGGCGUAAAGCGCGUGUAGGCGGUCCGGUAAGUCCGCUGUGAAAGUCGGGGGCUCAACCCUCGGAUGCCGGUGGAUACUGUCGGGCUUGAGUACGGAAGAGGCGAGUGGAAUUCCUGGUGUAGCGGUGAAAUGCGCAGAUAUCAGGAGGAACACCAAUUGCGAAGGCAGCUCGCUGGGACGUUACUGACGCUGAGACGCGACAGCGUGGGGAGCAAACAGG
rnacentral:rRNA from 1 species